AGUGAACGCUGGCGGUAGGCCUAACACAUGCAAGUCGAACGGCAGCACAGAGGAGCUUGCUCCUUGGGUGGCGAGUGGCGGACGGGCGAGGAAUACAUCGGAAUCUACUCUGUCGUGGGGGAUAACGUAGGGAAACUUACGCUAAUACCGCAUACGACCUACGGGUGAAAGCAGGGGAUCUUCGGACCUUGCGCGAUUGAAUGAGCCGAUGUCGGAUUAGCUAGUUGGCGGGGUAAAGGCCCACCAAGGCGAUGAUCCGUAGCUGGUCUGAGAGGAUGAUCAGCCACACUGGAACUGAGACACGGUCCAGACUCCUACGGGAGGCAGCAGUGGGGAAUAUUGGACAAUGGGCGCAAGCCUGAUCCAGCCAUACCGCGUGGGUGAAGAAGGCCUUCGGGUUGUAAAGCCCUUUUGUUGGGAAAGAAAAGCAGCAGUUAAUACCUGGUUGUUCUGACGGUACCCAAAGAAUAAGCACCUGCUAACUUCGUGCCAGCCGCCGCAGUAA
rnacentral:rRNA from 1 species